GGGUUUAAGGGUCCGUAGGCGGUUUAGUAAGUCAGUGGUGAAAGCCCAUCGCUCAACGGUGGAACGGCCAUUGAUACUGCUAGACUUGAAUUAUUAGGAAGUAACUAGAAUAUGUAGUGUAGCGGUGAAAUGCUUAGAGAUUACAUGGAAUACCAAUUGCGAAGGCAGGUUACUACUAAUGGAUUGACGCUGAUGGACGAAAGCGUGGGUAGCGAACAGGAUUAGAUACCCUGGUAGUCCACGCCGUAAACGAUGGAUACUAGCUGUUGGGGGCAACUUCAGUGGCUAAGCGAAAGUGAUAAGUAUCCCACCUGGGGGGUACGUUCGCAAGAAUGAAACUCAAAGGAAUUGACGGGGGCCCGCACAAGCGGUGGAGCAUGUGGUUUAAUUCGAUGAUACGCGAGGAACCUUACCAAGGCUUAAAUGUAGAUUGACCGGUUUGGAAACAGACUUUUCGCAAGACAAUUUACAAGGUGCUGCAUGGUUGUCGUCAGCUCGUGCCGUGAGGUGUCAGGUUAAGUCCUAUAACGAGCGCAACCCCUGUUGUUAGUUGCCAGCGAGUCAUGUCGGGAACUCUAACGAGACUGCCAGUGCAAACUGUGAGGAAGGUGGGGAUGACGUCAAAUCAU
rnacentral:rRNA from 1 species